AUCAGGCCGGGAUAAGGCGCCUGUCAGCCGGGGAGAAGUCCGCGGCAGGUCGGUUGGGUCGGUUGCCCUUCCAGCAGGGCGAGGCGGUGCAAAACAAGGUGGAGGAGGAGGAGGAGGAGGAAGAGGUCACACCUUCAUGACAGCGUCACCUGGAGCGCGUGACAGCAAGUUUCCGUCCCCAACAUGACGAUCAAUUCAUGUUCACAACAUUAGAAAAAUAAAAACACAACACCGAGAUUCAGGUCAAAUUUAAUUUUAAUAAAAAGGAAGACAAAUACACGGCUUCAUUAUUCAAGAGACCUUUUUAAUAUUUUUAUUUAAUGAUUUUUAAAAGGAUGCAUCGAAACUUGACAGGGUUACACAGAAAGAGAAGACCUAACAAAAGACCAAUGUUUGACUACUGGAAUUAUGAUACAAAUGGUUAAAUUUAACAAUUAAAACAAUUAAUAAUCAAACACUCAAAGAUCAAAGUCAAACAUAUUUAAGUUCAUAAUUUUGUUGUUUUUCCAUUGUUUCCAUUAUAAAUGAAAGUUAAUGAAAUUGAACUGAGUUGUUUAUUUUUUCUUCUUGUCAGAAGAUCCUAAAAUUCCCUAACAAGUCCUAUUUUUAUCCCUCAGAAUCCAGCCAUAGAGCCUGAGAGGGAGGAUUGUGUGGUUUUGGAUGAGGAAAACAGUGAACAGCUGGUUCCGUGGAGCCAAUCUGAAGCUGACUGAGGACAUCUAGAGGAAGUUAACAGCAACAACAAGACAAAUAAAAGUCCCAAGACCAGAAAGACCCAAAGAACCUUCAAUUUGUUCUAAACGUGUAUUUAGCCACGACACAAAUAUGAAAUCUAAAUAUGCUAAAUAUGAGGGCGGGUCAUCCUGACACACCUGCCACUCAUCCCUCCUCCAGUAUUUACGACCGGUCCCUCCACCUUGCUCCUGCCAGUCCGUCUGCUGACCUAAAGUGGUUCUGAGCCCACCUCUAAGUUUUUCUUUGCUCCGUCCUGUUACCCCGUUCUGAUCUCCUGUUUUUGCCCCACACUUCAGUCUGCCCCGGAUUCUGGAGCUCAUCUACCUGAACUGACCUUUUGUCCUGGAAAACCCACCGCCUGCUCUGAAAUCACAACAUUUCUCUAACAAUAUUGUCUUGUUGUUGUCAUCACCUCCUUCCUUCUGACCAUGACAGCAGCCAGCACUUGUUAAAAUAACCCAACCUUAAGUGUUUUAUUCUGUUUCUGCUUGAGUAAUUUUUAGAACCGCAGGUUCUUUCUUCGGUUCGUUCUUUUUAUUCUAGAUAGCGUGGCAUAAUAACCCUUUGAAAGGCCGUUUUUAGUUAAAAAAACAUGUAUUUAAAAUCAUUUUAGUUUCCUAUUUAAAUAAAAUUUGAUGCAAAAACAGGCCCCUGUAAAAUGAAAUCAAAAAUGAAGCAGCAGAUUUUAAAGCAAAUCUGCCAAGGGGGUGAGAGAAUUGGUCUCACUAAGAUUUACUAUCCUAAGAAAAAAAAAUCACGUCACCAUAUUUUCUCAGACUGAGAUUGUGCUAGUGAAAAACUUUGUGCAUAAGAUUAUUUUUCUUGCAAGACAGAAAAUAAGACAUUUUUUCUUGAAACGGGUCUUUAAGUGCAAAUUUUGCCGUGUUCAAAGUGGCAUUUCACACCGGGUCUAAUUCCCUUCAUCACAGUAGAGAUGUAAUAAUAAAGCACUUCAAGCUAUACAGUGAGCUUUAUCCAUUUUAUUUUGUUCUAAUUUACUUUAUUUUUACCUGCAGGACACAAAAGAUAAGCAUGUAUAAAUCCACAUUUUCGUAAUAAUCUAAAGCUUGAAUAAACUUUUCUGUUCAUCCACUUA